AAAACAGGCUGGUGCAUCCAGAGUUCACGGCUUAGAGCAGAAAAACAACAUCACCGCAGGAGACAGAGAGAUCAGCUUUGCCAGAGUCAGCACAGCUGGGGAAAGAGAGAGCUGGCAGAUGUAUUAUCCCUAGGUGAGAAAGAUAACAAAGCCUGAUUCUUCUAACUCAGCAUGGUUGUGUGGGUAAAGUGGUGCACUAGGAUCAAGAAAUCCGGUUUUGGUUCUUGACAUGUUAAGGUCUAGCUCUGUUGUGGAAACGUUGCUGUUGGCAUAAGAAAAAAGCUUCUUGUUUUCCAAAGCUCCCCCUUGGAGCCCAGUUAAUAUCGACAGUGUCCCUUCAACCUUGAACCAUUAAAAGCUUCAGGUGGGUGUUUCCUCAGAACUAGCAGU